rnacentral:lncRNA from 1 species
CAGGGUGGAAGCGCCCAGUUCCCGAGUGGGGAGGACGUUGGACUCUACCAUCGGGAGGAGCCAGACGGACAGACACUGCAGGAGGACCAGGCCAUGUCCCCCUCUUCCUGUUUGGUCUGUGGGCUGCUGUUGCUCCUGUGUCCCACUGACGCCAGGUGGCAGGUGCAGGUCCAUCCAGCAAUGAAUGGUCUUCACUGUCGAGUUUCAGUGGUAUCACUCUGGAUGGCUUCCCAAUCUGUCUCGGACGCCUCCCUCUCCACCUCAGCCUGAUGCGCUGUGAAGACGGAAUUGUCUUCCCCCUGCCCAGUUCUGGAAUCCAGAAGUUAAGGAAUCGAGGUGUCUACAGAGCCACAUUCCCUAUCAAGGCACAAGAAGGAGAAUCCAUUCCUUGCCUCGCUCCUUCCUGGUGGCUGCCCUGGGAACGACUCCCGCUGGUCUCUGCCUGUCUUCACAUGACCUUUCCUCUUCUGUCUGUGCUCAAGGC